UGGAAAUGGUGCUCCGCAGUGUUC
rnacentral:piRNA from 1 species